UACGAAGGUGGCAAGCGUUGUCCGGAUUUACUGGGCGUACAGGGAGCGUAGGCGGUUGGGUAAGCCCUUCGUGAAAUCUCCGGGCCUAACCCGGAAAGUGCGGAGGGGACUGCUCGGCUAGAGGAUGGGAGAGGAGCGCGGAAUUCCCGGUGUAGCGGUGAAAUGCGUAGAGAUCGGGAGGAAGGCCGGUGGCGAAGGCGGCGCUCUGGAACAUUUCUGACGCUGAGGCUCGAAAGCGUGGGGAGCAAACAGGG
rnacentral:rRNA from 1 species